CUCGCCGCCCGGAGCGCUCAGGCCGUGGCUCGCACGCCCGGAGGGGCGCGGUGGCUGGCGCCCGCAGACACACGUGCGCCCAGCGCGGCGGGGACCGUCGUCCUUCAUUGGGGGUAGCGACCCAGAGGCUCGGGAAAGGCAAUAAUUCAGGGGUCCAACGUGCGCUUAACCUGAGCUGUGCUCUGUGUCAAGAAGACUCUCUUCUGGAAGAAGGCUGCAGCAUCCUGAACUUGGAGAGGCCCAGGUUCAGGUCCAGGGAGGGAUACACGCUGUACCCUUGUGCUGAAGGCCCUUUAGGCAGUGGUGUCAGCAGCUCAGGGGUACGAGUGGGCUCUCUGGGAGCUUGAUCACCAAUUCACCUACCCUAGAUGGCCCUCAAGCUCCAGGGAUCCACCUGUCUCUCACCCCUAGUGCUGGGGAUCUUUCCAGAACUGCAUUCCUGCAGGGUCUCACACGGAAGACCAGACUGCUAUCACUCCUGGCAGCCUUGCCUCUGCCUCACCAGUCCAGGAUCACAACUGUGCACUACCACGCUCAGCUUAUAUUUCUAAAUCGUUGAAUAAA